rnacentral:rRNA from 1 species
GGGCCGGGGCUUCUCUUUCAGGUACGUCAUUAUCUUCGGUGUUAACUUACUGCCCUUCCUCCAACCUAAAGCGCUCUACCAUCCGAACGGCUUCUUCCUUCCGCGGCUGGCUGGAUCAGGCUUUCCCCCAUUGUGCGUAUUCCCCACUGCUGCCUCCCGUAGGAGUUGGGAUGAUAAUGC